CCCUGAAAGGAAGGGAGGGUGGGCAUGAUGCCAGCCACUGGGAACAUGGCAGGGGGCACUCACACACCCAGGGUCAUUGCUGAGGACAGUCCAAUCGCUCACACAGACGCCAGUGGGCACAUUCUGAUCACCAAACCCGGGAUGCCCCCCCUGAGGUCCCGAUACCCUGACCUCAGGGUCCCCCAGCUCUGCAUGGGCUCCCACCUCCAGUGCUGACCAACACUCUCCCCACACAUCCUGCCAUCCCUCCAGGAGGGGCAUGUCCCGCAGGCCCUGCCAAUCAGCGCUUCCCCACCUCCGGGCUACCGCGUGAUUGGCCCCCAGAUGGACAUGUGACUAGGCUGGCCAAAUGAGACCCUGCCCAGGGGCUUUUGAUGGAACUCCAGGAAGGGAGGUCCAGAAUUGUGUGAGGAGGCAUCCUGGUAACCAGAAGGGCAAUGAGGGGCAGAGAUAGCACCUGAGCCCCAGAUCCAGCCACGCUGGCAUUUCCCUGGUUUCAGAGACAGUCCCCCUCCUUUUUUUUUUUUCCUAAAAUGGCUUGGGUUUUGGUUAGCUCCAACCAAAUCGGUGCUGCCUGAUGCUGCAGUUUCUUCUUGAGCCUCAUCGUUCUCCUCACCCCCAUUCCGUGAACGUGCCCCUUCCCAUAACUGCUCCUUUGGCCAGAUCUCCUCUUGGCCCCUGACCUCUGUAUCUGGCAGCCCUUCCCCCCACAACACGCACCCACAACCUUCUCCUCCCACCUCAUGCACUCCCCAUGCUGCAGCACCAACCCCAUCAGGAUACCUGAGCAAGAAACUCAGUUAUUUUAUCUUCUUCCUGAUGGAGCUUUUGCUGGGGCGGCGGGGGCUCCAAGUCACCCCUUCCCUCACCCCGGCCCCCUCCCCCAGCAAUCUGAUCCCUGGAUGUGUCUGCUGUGAAGGAGCUAAGUGAGGUCAAGUUCAGUGUGUUGGGGCCUGCCAGAUGAUCCUGGGGCACUGUGCCAGGGAAGCAAUGGGCCCCCUGAUGCUGGGGGCAGGAGGGGAGCCCCGAGGGCCUGGCCUGAUCACCCCAGACUCAGUUUCUUUGUCCUCUCCAGUUCACCGCGAGGCCCUCAGGAGGUCGUGAGCAGGCUCCGAGAGAAUCUGGCCCGCAGUCAAGGCCAGGUGAAGGUGCCUGACUCACUGGGGGAGCUGGGCCCACCCCGCGGAGGGCACCGGAUCAACCCGGUUCCAGCGGGUGAGGCGGCAGGUUCCAGGGCUGGCAAGAACGCACCCAGCAUACACUGAGGGGAGAUGACGGGCAGCCUUCCCUCUACCCCAGGCAGCUGUUCGCUGGGGCUGUGUCAUCUGUGCAAGGCAAGCCCGGUCACGCCUGCACUUCCCCUCGGAUGCCCUGGCAGCUCCGCUCCACUAAGCACUGCUGGGGAGGGCCUGGCACCGUCGACAGCUCCUGUAGCGGAGCCCCCGGGGGCCAGUUUCUGCACAGACCUUGGGCCCAGAAUCAGGCUGCUGCAAACACAGCGACGUCAAGGGAGCCAUCGACAGAGGCCCAGUCAGGAGGAGUCCGGAAGACGCCUGCUGAGAGCACACUGGGAGUCGGGACCCUGCACUGCUCCCUCGUCUUCUCUGAGCAUCUGACGCUUCGUGUGUCCGGCGGGCCGAGGAACGCUCCACGUGCACGUCGGGAGCAGGUGUCGGGGCUCGGGACCUCGCAGGACUUGGGCCUGGACCCCGUCUGAAAGAGAAGACAGCAGAGGCUGAGCUGGCCUCCUCAUGUGCACUGCUCCUCCUCACAGCAUGGCUUCUCCCCACCAGGGCUAAGAAAUGCUCAACAAGAAUGGAGUUCAUCUGCAGAUGAAGAACUCGUGGCCCCAUGGCAUUGGGGGGGCCUGCCCCAGACACACCCAGGGGCAAAACCAAGAGUUGUGUGGAGAUGGUCUUUCUACAGCCCCCUCCCAGCUUCAACUCUGUCUACCUGUGGGCACAGCCCAGGGGUGGCGUGGUCCCCUGUGAGAGCAGGCAUUGGGGAAGAAGAGGAAGUUUGCCCACUCGUCACAUCUGAACCCCCCCAGGGCUGUACCAUGGCUGUUAGCAGCCAGCCGGGGGGCAGGGUUACUGAAAACUUCAGGCUAACACCCUGUGUCACUCCUGAAUGGAGGCAGGCAGGGCUCCAGUGGCAGGGGCUGCCUCUGUUCUGUGUGCCUCUGUCCAUGGCAAGGAAGGACACCACGUGGAGAAGCCUGAGGAGGCUCAAACCGCAUGCCCUAAGUGACACAGAGGGCGCUCCCCACACCCCCUGCUGACCCGCCUUGCAGCGGUGCGGUGCCCCAGAGCUGCGACUCCCACAGGCGACCCUGCUGCUGACGUGCUCCCUGGCCCACGCGGCCCAAGGACAGAGACCGUGGCCGCCCUGGACACCAGCCCCGGGGAGAGGGUCCCAGAGAAACCCUGUUUCCCCUUCUGUGAACCCGGGACACUAUCACCAUCCAACAACUGCAGGCUCCAGGCAGGGUCCCCAGACCUGUUCAAGGACAAAGGAGGAAACUCUCUUCUGAUGGCAGCAGACAUGACUGGACAGAACCUGGCAUGCCAGUGGCGGGCUCGGCUGUGUCAUGUUCCCUUAUUCCUCUCUGCCUCUCGGGCCCUGGGGCAGACACUCCUGGCUGACUGUUACAGGAGCAUGGACACACCAGUGGGGGGGGGGGGGGGCAGCGGGGUGCUAGGCCUGCCUCCCAUGCACAUACCCAGUGCGGUGGGGUGGGGGAGGCCCGACUGGCAUGUGACCAACAGGCAUUUAGCCCCUGCAGGGAAUGCCGGAGGAACGGGUUUCUACUUGGCCACAGGCUCCUUAAUUCCGUGGGUAAACACUCGCUUCAUUACCAGAUUUUUUUACAAAGCACUUUGACAAUGACUUUUUCUAAAGAAUCUUUUCAAAAGCAUUCCACGAAUGUUAUGGGAUCCUAAGAGAUUUCUAAACAGUAUUAAAAAUUCACCCAUCACCCCCCACCCCACCCCCAACAAAUCCACAGGAAUUCCUUUACUGACAUCCUCACAGAUGCAUCGUUUUGAGCGGCAGUUAAAGGAAGUUUGGCCAAGAUGCUGGGCUCUGCCACCAUCUUCUCACUCCCAGGAUGCUGGGGCCGUCCCCCUCCCCAGAGUCACGACGCUAGCCAUCUUCACUUUCUUUAUGGCAGCACCACAUUUGGGCAUGUGUAGGGACCCUGCUGUCCUUACUGACGCACCUCUCUGCAACUAGACGUUUCAGUUACUUUUUGACUUUGUUUGGGUUGUUAGAAUUUUUAAGUUUCUCCCCCCAAGUUUGAAAAUCAUAUGCGUUCCUUGUGCAAAACUGGAACAUGCAGACGGGGAUUAAAAGGCCAGGGCUUCCCUGGUGGCGCAGCGGUUGAGAGUCCGCCUGCCGAUGCAGGGGACACGGGUUCGUGCCCGGUCCGGGAAGAUCCCAUGUGCUGCGGAGCGGCUGGGCCCGUGGGCCGUGGCCGCUGAGCCUGCGCAUCCGGAGCCUGUGCUCCACAACGGGAGAGGCCGCAACAGUGAGAGGCCCGCGUACCGCAAAAAUAAUAAUAAUAAAAAAAAAGGCCAACAGUGCUGCUCACACCUGCACUCGGGUCUCCCCCAGGGCCUGGUCCUGCACGCCCAGGGAUCUGUUGGCAUCUUUACGUGUCUUGUGCCUUUCUAAACAGCUUUAUCCUGCUCUUUCCACAUACCAGUUUUAUCACAAGUCUCUCAUGCCUUUAAAAUUCCUUCAAAGAUCCCAAUUCACACACACAGAGCUUUCCACACGAGGGACUGAGGACAGUUUCCUUAUAAAUCCCCCACUGUCGAACAUUCAGGUUGUUUCCUGUUGAUUUCAAACGUUCUGAACACAUGCCUUUGAAGAACAUAGUGCUGUCUGCUCGUUCAUCAUCUCCCUCCGAGUUCCUGACAGGGUUUCAAUUUAAAAAAAAAAACAUUCAAAA